GGGAUAUUGGACAAUGGGGGGAACCCUGAUCCAGCGACGCCGCGUGAGUGAAGAAGUAUCUCGGUAUGUAAAGCUCUAUCAGCAGGGAAGAAAGAAAUGACGGUACCUGAGUAAGAAGCCCCGGCUAACUACGUGCCAGCAGCCGCGGUAAUACGUAGGGGGCAAGCGUUAUCCGGAAUUACUGGGUGUAAAGGGUGCGUAGGUGGUUCAGCAAGUUAGUAGCGUAACUCCGGAGCUCAACUUCGGCACUACUACUAAAACUGUUGGACUUGAGUGCAGGAGGGGCAACUGGAAUUUCUAGUGUAGCGGUGGAAUGCGUAGAUAUUAGGAAGAACACCGGUGGCGAAGGCGAGUUGCUGGACUGUAACUGACACUGAGGCACGAAAGCGUGGGGAGCAAACAG
rnacentral:rRNA from 1 species